CCGUGGCGUCCGAAACUACACUUCCCGUGAGCCUCUGCGCCCCGGGCGCGUUUCGCUCUGCCUCCUUAGAACAGAGGGAGAGUUUGGCCUGAGGCGUGCAGCCCGGGUGAUUCCCGACGCCCCAGAGAACAUGGGCCUAACCAGCUGCAAGGCGUGGUUCCCGACUGGAUGCUCUUUGGGAGGAAAAAACAGCUGCAAACAGAUGUUAACAGCCGGAGGCAUGAAUAUGGCUGGACAUUAAAAGUACUAAGAAAGAUUACCAUUACUUGGCGUGAUGAUACUGAGAAAGUGUACAGCUGUGUCUGAAGAUUAAGAAUACCUUCAGUGAAACAUUCGUGUCUCUUAAAACUCCGAUGUUGAAAUCCUAACUCCCAGGGGGAUGUCAUUAGAAGAUGUUGGAGCCUAGGUAAAUCAUUCUGAAUCCUUGUAUAUACGGGGUGCAGCUGUUAGAAGAGAGAGACCUUCAUGUGCACCAACGUGGAGGGAUCCUCAAGACAUCAAUGGUGGAAGCGAGAAGUGGGCGUCAAUCAGGAUGCGUCAAUCAGGAUUCCAUUUAAGCUAAAGUGCAGUCAGACAACACAGAGAUGUUGGGAUCCAUAUAAAAUAUGUACAAAUAUGAAAUUCAAGGAUCCCAGGCACAUCCAAUGGGCUAAUUAAUCCUGGAGAGAAGAGAGGGCAGGUGGUGCUGGGGAUCAAACCCAGAGCUUCAUGCAUGUGAGGCAAGUGCUCUACCACUGAGUUACAACCUCCGCCCAUGGAAUGGUGUCUUUUAUACAUUAAAUGACAUGGAAAGAGACCCUUGACCUCAUGAAGCCAGGGGCCAACAUUUGAUUGGACCAUGACCCUCUGGCCUGUCCCCAUGAACCACCCAACUGCCAGAGGCAUCAAUGGUCUUGCUGAGUUGCUUAGGGCCUCAAGAAGUUAUUGAAGCUGGCCUUGAACUUGUGAUCCUCCCGCUCAGCCUCCUGAGCCGCUGGGAUUACAGCCCACUGGAUGGCCAGAACCAAGGCCUCUGUCCUCAUGGGGCUCCUCACUGUCCACAGCAACUUCACCUUGCACCAGCACUCAUCAUUUGCAGGCGAGAGCAGGUAUUUGGAUCUUGAUUGUCGUGUGAAAAUUACCUCUCAAAUAUGGUAGAUUCUAUGUCAUUAGUUGCUCUAUGGCACUGCAACCUGUCAGGUCCUCCUGAGAGGCCCAUCCCGUCUGCCUCCUGGGCUGCAGUCAAGCACACCACCAGGCUUUCCAUCCAUCAAGACAUCCAGGAAGUCAUUUUAAUUGUCCUCCAAGGGAAGAACAGGAAAGAACAUGCCUGCAUGUUCUUGCUGUUAGUGAACCAUAUGACAUGCCCACUUCAGAGGAGAAGGUAGUCCGGGCAAUCAGAGAGGAGGAUGCUAUAAACAAAUCACUGUCAAAUCCAAUUAUUAUGACCUUGCUUUGCUAAUGCUGAAAAGUAGAGAAGACAGAGAACAAAGAAUUUUAUGCACAGGAAA